GACAGAGGGUGCAAACGUUGUUCGGAAUCACUGGGCAUAAAGAGCACGUAGGCGGUUCGCCGAGUCGUGCGUGAAAUCCCCCGGCUCAACCGGGGAAUCGCGCACGAUACUGGCGGGCUCGAGGUCGGUAGGGGUGAGUGGAACUCCAGGUGGAGCGGUGAAAUGCGUAGAUAUCUGGAGGAACACCGGUGGCGAAAGCGGCUCACUGGACCGAAACUGACGCUGAGGUGCGAAAGCUAGGGUAGCAAACGGG
rnacentral:rRNA from 1 species